ACGUAGGGUGCAAGCGUUAAUCGGAAUUACUGGGCGUAAAGCGUGCGCAGGCGGUUGUGUAAGACAUGUGUGAAAUCCCCGGGCUUAACCUGGGAACUGCGCUUGUGACUGCACAGCUAGAGUACGGCAGAGGGGGGUGGAAUUCCACGUGUAGCAGUGAAAUGCGUAGAGAUCCGGAAGAACACCGGUGGCGAUGGCGGCCUGCUGGGCAGUUUGCUGACACUGAGGCGCGACAGCGUGGGGAGCAAACAGGA
rnacentral:rRNA from 1 species